rnacentral:rRNA from 1 species
UACGUAGGGUGCGAGCGUUGUCCGGAAUUAUUGGGCGUAAAGAGCUCGUAGGCGGUGUGUCACGUCGGCCGUGAAAACCUGCAGCUUAACUGUGGGCGUGCGGUCGAUACGGGCAUCACUGGAGUUCGGCAGGGGAGACUGGAAUUCCUGGUGUAGUGGUGAAAUGCGCAGAUAUCAGGAGGAACACCGGUGGCGAAGGCGGGUCUCUGGGCCGAUACUGACGCUGAGGAGCGAAAGCGUGGGGAGCAAACAGG